GAUGAAGAACGUAGCGAAAUGCGAUACUUGGUGUGAAUUGCAGAAUCCCGCGAAUCAUCGAGUUUUUGAACGCAAGUUGCGCCCGAAGCCAUUCGGCCGAGGGCACGUCUGCCUGGGUGUCACGCAUCGUUGCCCCCCCCAAACUUCGGUUCGGGCGGGGCGGAAGUUGGCCUCCCGUGCGUGCCUGCGCGCGCGGUUAGCCCAAAAGCGAGUCCUCGGCGACGAGCGCCACGACAAUCGGUGGUUUUUUUACCCUCGUUCCUCGUCGUGCGUGCCCCGUCGCCCGAACGCGCUCUUGCGACCCUCACGCGUCGCCUCGGCGGCGCUCCCAACGCGACCCCAGGUCAGGCGGGACUACCCGCUGAGUUUAAGCAUAUCAAAAGCGGAGGA
rnacentral:misc_RNA from 1 species